UACGAAGGGUGCAAACGUUGCUCGGAAUUAUUGGGCGUAAAGCGCACGUAGGCGGCGCUGCAAGUCCCAUGUGAAAGCCCACGGCUUAACCGUGGAAGUGCAUGGGAAACUGCAGUGCUUGAGUACUUAAGAGGAUCGCGGAAUUCCCGGUGUAGAGGUGAAAUUCGUAGAUAUCGGGAGGAACACCCGUAGCGAAGGCGGCACUCUGGGCCGAUACUGACACUGAGGAGCGAAAGCGUGGGGAGCGAACAGG
rnacentral:rRNA from 1 species